GUUCCUCCGGGGACUAUGGGGAUAAACGCCCACGUAAUAAGCGGACUGGACCCGGGUGCGAUUCCCGGCGGCUCCACCA
rnacentral:tmRNA from 1 species